CCUACGGGAGGCAGCAGUGAGGAAUAUUGGUCAAUGGGCUCACGCCUGAACCAGCCAAGUCGCGUGCGGGAAGACUGCCCUAUGGGUUGUAAACUUCUUUUGUACGGGAGCAACGCCGGCUACGUGUAGCCGGACUGAGAGUACCUGAAGAUAAAGCAUGGCUUAACCCCGUGCAAGCAGCGUCGGUAAUACGGAGAAUGCGACCGUUAUCCGGAUUUUUUGGGUUAAAGGGGUGCGUAGGCGGAAUGUCAAGUCAGCGGGAAAAUCCGGGGGCUCAACCUCGCUCCGCCGUUGAAACUGGCGUUCUUGAGUGGGCGAGAGGUAUGCGGAAUGCGUGGUGUAGCGGUGAAAUGCAUAGAUAUCACGCAGAACUCCGAUUGCGAAGGCAGCAUACCGGCGCCCAACUGACGCUGAAGCACGAAAGCGUGGGUAUCGAACAGGAUUAGAUACCCCGGUAGUC
rnacentral:rRNA from 1 species